rnacentral:rRNA from 1 species
AAUGAACGCUGGCGGCAUGCCUUACACAUGCAAGUCGAACGGCAGCAUGACCUAGCUUGCUAGGUUGAUGGCGAGUGGCGAACGGGUGAGUAAUGCAUCGGAACGUGCCUUUUAGUGGGGGAUAACGUAGCGAAAGUUACGCUAAUACCGCAUAUUCUCUGAGGAGGAAAGCAGGGGACCUUCGGGCCUUGCGCUAGAAGAGCGGCCGAUGUCGGAUUAGCUAGUUGGUGAGGUAAAGGCUCACCAAGGCAACGAUCCGUAGCGGGUCUGAGAGGAUGAUCCGCCACACUGGGACUGAGACACGGCCCAGACUCCUACGGGAGGCAGCAGUGGGGAAUUUUGGACAAUGGGCGCAAGCCUGAUCCAGCCAUGCCGCGUGGGUGAAGAAGGCCUUCGGGUUGUAAAGCUCUUUCGGCUGGGAAGAAAUCGCACCCUCUAAUACAGGGUGUGGAUGACGGUACCAGCAUAAGAAGCACCGGCUAACUACGUG